rnacentral:tRNA from 1 species
GAGGGUGUUGCUCAGUGGCAGAGCACUUGCCUAGCAUGAGCAAAGCCUUGGUUCAAUUCCCAGCACACACA